AACGAACGCUGGCGGCAGGCCUAACACAUGCAAGUCGAGCGGCCGUAGCAAUACGGCAGCGGCAGACGGGAGAGUAACACGUGGGAACGCGCCCUUCGGUCUGGAAUAACCCAGGGAAACUUGGGCUAAUACCGGAUACGCCCUUACGGGGAAAGAUUUAUUGCCGAAGGAAAGGCCCGCGACCGAUUAGCUAGUUGGUGAGGUAACGGCUCACCAAGGCGACGAUCGGUAGCUGGUCUGAGAGGAUGACCAGCCUCACUGGGACUGAGACACGGCCCAGACUCCUACGGGAGGCAGCAGUGGGGAAUAUUGGACAAUGGGCGCAAGCCUGAUCCAGCCAUGCCGCGUGGGUGAUGAAGGCCCUAGGGUUGUAAAGCCCUUUCAGCGGGGAAGAUAAUGACGGUACCCGCAGAAGAAGCCCCGGCUAACUUCGUGCCAGCCGCCGCAGUAACAC
rnacentral:rRNA from 1 species